ACAGUGGACGCGAGCAUCUGUGGCCAAGUUUUUAAGGGCGCACGGUGGAUGCCUUGGCACCAGGAACCGAUGAAGGACGUGGGAGGCCACGAUAGUCCCCGGGGAGUCGUCAACCAGGCUUUGAUCCGGGGGUUUCCGAAUGGGGAAACCCGGCAGUCGUCAUGGGCUGUCACCCGCUGCUGAACACAUAGGCAGUGUGGAGGGAACGAGGGGAAGUGAAACAUCUCAGUACCCUCAGGAAGAGAAAACAACCGUGAUUCCGGGAGUAGUGGCGAGCGAAACCGGAUGAGGCCAAACCGUAUGCGUGUGAGACCCGGCAGGGGUUGCGUAUACGGGGUUGUGGGAUCUCUCUUCUGUUGUCUGCCGGCGACAGGACGAGUCAGAAACCGUUGAUGUAGGCGAAGGACAUGCGAAAGGUCCGGCGUAGAGGGUAAGACCCCCGUAGUCGAAACAUCAGCGGCUCGUUUGAGAGACACCCAAGUAGCACGGGGCCCGAGAAAUCCCGUGUGAAUCUGGCGGGACCACCCGCUAAGCCUAAAUAUUCCCUGGUGACCGAUAGCGGAUAGUACCGUGAGGGAAUGGUGAAAAGUACCCCGGGAGGGGAGUGAAAUAGUACCUGAAACCGUGUGCCUACAAGCCGUGGGAGCACUUCGGUGUGACUGCGUGCCUUUUGAAGAAUGAGCCUGCGAGUUUGCGGUGUGUUGCGAGGUUAACCCGUGUGGGGAAGCCGUAGCGAAAGCGAGUCCGAAUAGGGCGUUGGAGUAGCACGCUCAAGACCCGAAGCGGAGUGAUCUAGCCAUGGGCAGGUUGAAGCGGAGGUAAGACUUCGUGGAGGACCGAACCCACCAGGGUUGAAAACCUGGGGGAUGACCUGUGGUUAGGGGUGAAAGGCCAAUCAAACUCCGUGAUAGCUGGUUCUCCCCGAAAUGCAUUUAGGUGCAGCGUCGUGUGUUUCUUGCCGGAGGUAGAGCACUGGAUAGGCGAUGGGCCCUACCGGGUUACUGACCUUAGCCAAACUCCGAAUGCCGGUAAGUGAGAGCGCGGCAGUGAGACUGUGGGGGAUAAGCUCCAUGGUCGAGAGGGAAACAGCCCAGAGCAUCGACUAAGGCCCCUAAGCGUACGCUAAGUGGGAAAGGAUGUGGAGUCGCACAGACAACCAGGAGGUUGGCUUAGAAGCAGCCACCCUUGAAAGAGUGCGUAAUAGCUCACUGGUCUAGUGAUUCCGCGCCGACAAUGUAGCGGGGCUCAAGCGUACCGCCGAAGUCGUGUCAUUGACAUAUAUAGCCCCAACGGGUGUGUUGAUGGGUAGGGGAGCGUCGUCUGCCGGGUGAAGCGGCACUGGAAGGUAGUCGUGGACGGUUGACGAGUGAGAAUGCAGGCAUGAGUAGCGAUUCACACGUGAGAAACGUGUGCGCCGAUUGACUAAGGGUUCCUGGGUCAAGCUGAUCUGCCCAGGGUAAGUCGGGACCUAAGGCGAGGCCGACAGGCGUAGUCGAUGGAUAACCGGUUGAUAUUCCGGUACCCGCUGUGAAGCGUCAAACAUCGAGCAUCGUGAUGCUAAGGCCGUGAAGCCGCCCUGAUCUCUUCGGAGUUGAGGGGAGUGGUGGAGCCGCCGGACCAAGCGGUUAGUAGGUGAGUGAUGGGGUGACGCAGGAAGGUAGUCCAUCCCGGGCGGUGGUUGUCCCGGGGUAAGGGUGUAGGCCGGUGUGUAGGCAAAUCCGCACACCUUGUGGCUGAGACCUGAUGCCGAGCCGAUUGUGGUGAAGUGGAUGAUCCUAUGCUGUCGAGAAAAGCCUCUAGCGAGUUUUAUGGCGGCCCGUACCCUAAACCGACUCAGGUGGUCAGGUAGAGAAUACCGAGGCGUUCGGGUGAACUAUGGUUAAGGAACUCGGCAAAAUGCCCCCGUAACUUCGGGAGAAGGGGGGCCACGCCUGGUGAGAACACUUGCUGUUCGAGCUGGGGGUGGCCGCAGAGACCAGCGAGAAGCGACUGUUUACUAAAAACACAGGUCCGUGCGAAGCCGUAAGGCGAUGUAUACGGACUGACGCCUGCCCGGUGCUGGAACGUUAAGGGGACCGGUUAGCUUGGAUUCGUCCAGGCGAAGCUGAGAACUUAAGCGCCAGUAAACGGCGGUGGUAACUAUAACCAUCCUAAGGUAGCGAAAUUCCUUGUCGGGUAAGUUCCGACCUGCACGAAUGGCGUAACGACUUCUCGACUGUCUCAACCAUAGGCCCGGUGAAAUUGCACUACGAGUAAAGAUGCUCGUUUCGCGCAGCAGGACGGAAAGACCCCGGGACCUUUACUACAGUUUGAUAUUGGUGUUCGGUUCGGCUUGUGUAGGAUAGCUGGGAGACUUUGAAGCAGGCACGCCAGUGUUUGUGGAGUCGUCGUUGAAAUACCAGUCUGGUCGUGCUGGAUGUCUAACCUGGGUCCGUGAUCCGGAUCAGGGACAGUGUCUGAUGGGUAGUUUAACUGGGGCGGUUGCCUCCUAAAGAGUAACGGAGGCGCCCAAAGGUUCCCUCAGCCUGGUUGGCAAUCAGGUGUUGAGUGUAAGUGCACAAGGGAGCUUGACUGUGAGACCGACGGGUCGAGCAGGGACGAAAGUCGGGACUAGUGAUCCGGCGGUGGCUUGUGGAAGCGCCGUCGCUCAACGGAUAAAAGGUACCCCGGGGAUAACAGGCUGAUCUUCCCCAAGAGUCCAUAUCGACGGGAUGGUUUGGCACCUCGAUGUCGGCUCGUCGCAUCCUGGGGCUGGAGUCGGUCCCAAGGGUUGGGCUGUUCGCCCAUUAAAGCGGUACGCGAGCUGGGUUUAGAACGUCGUGAGACAGUUCGGUCCCUAUCCGCUGUGCGCGUAGGAGUCUUGAGAAGGGCUGUCCCUAGUACGAGAGGACCGGGACGGACGAACCUCUGGUGUGCCAGUUGUUCUGCCAAGGGCAUGGCUGGUUGGCUACGUUCGGGAGGGAUAACCGCUGAAAGCAUCUAAGCGGGAAGCCUGCUUCGAGAUGAGGACUCCCACCCACUUGAUGGGGUAAGGCUCCCAGUAGACGACUGGGUUGAUAGGCCGGAUCUGGAAGCCAGGUAACUGGUGGAGGUGACCGGUACUAAUAGGCCGAGGGCUUGUCCUCAGUUG
rnacentral:rRNA from 1 species